rnacentral:rRNA from 1 species
UCCGGUUGAUCCCGCCAGAGGUUACUGCUAUCGGUGUUCGCCUAAGCCAUGCGAGUCAUAUGUAGCAAUACAUGGCGUACUGCUCAGUAACACGUGGAUAACCUGCCCUUGGGACCGGCAUAACCCCGGGAAACUGGGGAUAAUUCCGGAUAACGCAUAUUUGCUGGAAUGCUUUAUGCGUCAAAAGGAUUCGUCUGCCCAAGGAUGGGUCUGCGGCCUAUCAGGUAGUAGUGGGUGUAAUGUACCUACUAGCCAGCGACGGGUACGGGUUGUGAGAGCAAGAGCCCGGAGAUGGAUUCUGAGACAUGAAUCCAGGCCCUACGGGGCGCAGCAGGCGCGAAAACUUUACAAUGCGGGAAACCGUGAUAAGGGGACACCGAGUGCCAGCAUCAUAUGCUGGCUGUCCGGAUGUGUAAAAUACAUCCGUUAGCAAGGGCCGGGCAAGACCGGUGCCAGCCGCCGCGGUAACACCGGCGGCCCGAGUGGUGAUCGUGAUUAUUGGGUCUAAAGGGUCCGUAGCCGGUUUGGUCAGUCCUCCGGGAAAUCUGAUAGCUUAACUAUUAGGCUUUCGGGGGAUACUGCCAGACUUGGAACCGGGAGAGGUAAGAGGUACUACAGGGGUAGGAGUGAAAUCUUGUAAUCCCUGUGGGACCACCUGUGGCGAAGGCGUCUUACCAGAACGGGUUCGACGGUGAGGGACGAAAGCUGGGGGCACGAACCGGAUUAGAUACCCGGGUAGUCCCAGCCGUAAACGAUGCUCGCUAGGUGUCAGGCAUGGCGCGACCGUGUCUGGUGCCGCAGGGAAGCCGUGAAGCGAGCCACCUGGGAAGUACGGCCGCAAGGCUGAAACUUAAAGGAAUUGGCGGGGGAGCACAACAACGGGUGGAGCCUGCGGUUUAAUUGGAUUCAACGCCGGG